AUGUAUAGCGAAAGCUAGUUGUGUUAACUAACAUAACAGUUAAUGCAAUAUCGACUACGUCGAAUAAAGUUCUAGGUAGAAUUUUGAUMAUGACAUUAUCUAUCUAUAUGUCUUGACUAAWUCACGUGCCAGCAGUCGCGGUAAUACGUGGAAGACUAGUGWUAUUCAUCUUUAAUAGGUUUAAAGUGUACUUAGACGGAAUGUUAAGCCCCAAGAGGGAACUAACAAUUCUAKAGUUUUAUAUGAKAGAGACAUAGUACCGAUAGAGUASAGAUGAAAUUCUGUUAUACAUCGCUGGAACUGGCGACGGCRAAAGCAGCUUUUUAUGUAAAAACUGACGUUGAASGACGAAKGCUUGAUUCACCAACWGGAUUAGUUACCCCAGCAGUUCUGGCAGACAAUGCUGAAUGCCAUAGAUUANAUUAUUCUUGUCUAUAAAUGAAAGUGUAAGCAUUCCACCUCAAGAGUAAUGCGGCAACGCAKAAACUGAAAUCAUUAGACCGUUUCUGAAACCSGUAGUGAAGUAUGUUGUUUAAUUCNAGAAUACGCGAAAAACCUUACCACAAUUUGUAUAUUUUUAUUGUUAUAUUAAUACAAGCGUUGCACGGCUGUCUUCAGUUAAUGUCGUGAGAUUUUGGUUAGUUCCAUUAAAUUAACGAAAACCCAUACUUUAUUUUUUUUUAUAAAGUAGUUCACCAUUAUAUUGGAUAUGACAAAAGGGACUAAGACAAGUCAUCAUGACCUGAAUAUUGUGGGCUAUAGAACGNGCACACAUA
rnacentral:rRNA from 1 species